GACCUUUUGAAAAGCUUAUUAAAAAAGCAGAAAGAUAAUUGGUUUUCUCUUCAUUUCUAAUGAUAAGUAUUAAGGCUAUAAUUUCAGUUUAUUGCUUUGGUUACAUCUCACAAAUUUGGAUGUAUUUUCCCCAUGUCAUUCAGUUCAAUUUUUUUUUCUGAUUUCUUCUUUCAACAAUUUAGAAAUUUUUCUUUCUUUCUUUUCUUUCUUUCCUUCCUCCCACCUUCCUCCCUCCCUCCCUUCGUUCCUUCCUUUUUUACUGCUGGGUAUCAAACCAGGUUCUAAUGCAUGGUAGGCACACUGUCUACUACUGAACUACACUCUCAGUCCCUAGAAACACAUUGAUUAAUUUCUAAAUAUUUGGGAAUUUUUCUAAGCACUGUUUAAAAGCACCUUAUGCAAUGAUGGAAAUAUUCCUGUGUGCUAUCCAGCAAAAUAGCUACUAGCCCCUUGUGACUACUAUACACUUGAAAUGUGGCUAACAUCACCAAAUAACUGAAUGUAUAAUUUUAAGGUGGCCAGAGGUUAUCAUACUGAACACACAGUUCUAUUUUAAUUUUUAUUAGUACAUGUUUGCAGUACACGAUUGCAUUCAUCGUGGGGAGCUGGCGCACGUACCUCACACAUCUUUUUUUUUUGGUACUGGGGAUCGAACUCAGGAUCCUGAGGUUGUGAGGCAGGCGGCAGCACCACUGAGCUCAAUCCCCAGCCCCUGAAUAUGCAGUUCUAGAUACCUUCAUUGCCAUUCUUUCUAAUUUAUUCUAUUAUGGUCAGGGAACACAUUUUAUGUGAUUCAAUCCUUACACAUUUAUUAAGAUUUGCUUCAUUGCUCAAUAUAUUUUGUCUCAGUAAAGUUUCCAUGUGCAAUUAGAAAAUGGAGCCUUCUGAAAUUGUGCACAGUGUUCUUGAAAUGCUAAUUAGGUCAAUUAGGUUGAGAGCAUUGUUCACAUAUUUUCCACUUAAUCUCUUCUAUCAGUUACCAAACAGGGUGUUGACGUUUCCAGAGCUAUCAUGACUUUCUCCAAUUUUCCCUUUAGUUCUGUUAAUUUUUACUUCACAUUUUGAAUUUCUGUUAUUUUUUUAAAAUUUCUGUUAUUAUUUACAUAAACUUCUAGGGAUAUCUGAUCUUUUUGAUGUUUUGAUCCUUUAUCAUUGUGAAAUGACCCUCCUCUUUGAUAAUACUUAUGGCUUUGAGUGAUACAGUGGUACUUCAGUUCACAAACUUAAUUCAUUCCAUGGGGAAGAUGGCCACAGUCACGUUUGUCACCUGAUGUGGAGUUCACAAAUGGGAAAGUUUGCCAAACGCUUCUAUUUGUGAACUGACUUGUUUGUGAACUGAGGCAUUACUGUCUUAGCAUAGCUCUACCAGUGUUUCCUGACCUUCAUUGUUUCUGAUGAGAAGUCAGCUAUUAUUCUUGUUGUUUCCCUUCUUGUAAUGUGUCUAUUUAUUUACUUUGAGACGUUUAUUUUGGUGUUCAAUAGUUUGGCUAUAAUAGGCCUGGAUUUAUUUUUCCUUGCACUUAGACUGCUUGGGGUUCACUGAGCUUCUUAGGUCAAUGCAUUGCUGUUUCUCAGAAAUCAAAUUUGGAAAAUAUUAAAUCCAUGUUUAUUCAGAUAUACUUAUUCCACUAUUCUUAUUCUCCCUUCUAUGACUCCAGUUACAUUUAUGUUAGCCUACUUGUGACAGUCCCAUAAAUCAGUGAGUCUCUGUGUAGUUUUUCAGCCUUUGUUCAUUUUGUUACUGAGUUAGAAAAUUUCUGUUCACCUGUCUUUAACUUCACUGAUCUUUCUUUUGCCGUGACCAGUUUCCUACUAUCAUGUGAUGAAAUUCUAAUUUCUUCCCAGGAGGAAAAGGAAAAGAAAGGGAAGAAGGAAAAAAAUGAAAGAUAAUAAGACAGAAAAGAAAGAGGAGGAGGAGGAGGAAGAGAAGAAGGAGAAAAGGUCUGUUUUGGCUCACAGUUUCCAAGUGUCAGUCCAUGGUUACUUGGCCCUAUUGCUUUGGGCCUGUGGCAGCACAGCACACCAUGAUGACAGUACAUGGCAGAAGAGAGUGUUUACCUCAUGGCAGCAGGAAAUAACUGAGAGAAAGUGAUGGGGGUCUCAGUAUCUCCUUGAAGGGUGCACCUCUAGCAACUUACCUUCCUCCUUCUGGUACCCACAUCUUCAAGUUUCUGCCAUAUCCCAACAGCACCAAGGGCCUGGCCCAAAGCUCUCACACAUGGGCCUUUGGGAAACAUUUGUCCAAACCCACCCCAGCAUCCCUGACCCUCUUGUGGAGCCUCUGUUCCUGUGGUGGCUGUGAUUGGUCUUCUGGCCUACAGGUGGGUCUGGGCAAGCAGUCCUAGGUGCACUCAGGAAGGCUUGGCUGACCUGCUUGGGACUGCACCAGAGAUUAUGGGGUUUUUUGCAGGUAGAAAAAAGAAGAAAAUACUUCUCUACCUGGUAGGAUGGGAAAGGAUUUUGCCCUCUUAAGCCAAAUUGUGUGGAACAAUUGCAAAUACAAAACAGAAACACUGGUUAACAGUUGGGGUAAAAAAAAAAGUCUUUUUUACGUGGUUCAAAAUCACAAAGCUUUGGUGAAACAGAGAAGGUAGGCUUGGCCAGGAGGCAGAGAACAUGCCCUCAUACAUUUGCUGAUGUCCUAGGGAUUGCCAUCCUUAGAGUCUUGUGCUGAGGAAUUUUGUUACCUGGGAGACCUGCAAAGCCUGCCUUUUCCUACACCCUAAGGCCUGGGCUCUUCCCCAAGCUUUUAACCACCUUUCUUAAUUUGGCCCAAUCCCAGCUUUCCAACCUCCUCCCCGAACUGCUGCCAGCUGAACCUGUGCGUCUUCUUCGGCACUACCCGUGCCUCUCCCAGCACAUGCCACCCUCUUGCUCAGCCCCAGGCUUCUGCUCAGCCUGUUUUCCUUCCUCACACAUCUCUCGAUUCCCAGUUCAAACCCGCCCCUCUUCACACCAGAUUCCACUUCCCCAGCUCCCCCAGCAUCUGUGGGACCUGCCACCAACUUACUAAAUCUACACUGCCUUGUGUCUGUUACUAGUAAUUAGCUCUCCCCCUAGCUGGUUUGUUCCCUCGGAGAAGGAAGCUUGGGAUCAGCCUCCUUGGGAUUAAGAGCUGGCCCAGGUCUGCUGGCAGCAAAUGCUUCCCACUGUCUGAAGACAACAGAAUCACACGUCAAUACGCCUCCAGCUGCCUUGCCAGGUGUCCUGAGAGAAAGCGUAACCACAGAAAGAAACGCUUGUUAUCCUAAAAGCAGGACAGAGAUGAAUCCAAAACCAGAAAGCAGUUUGAAUGAGGCAGCAAUGAUACCUAAAAAACAUUUGAGUAGCCUACUGGGGGAAGACCCUGAAGAAUAAUGUAAUUGGAAGGAAAUAACAGAGAUUUAAAAGUCUGUGGAGGAGAGGAAAGGAAAGAUGAGGGGUCUUUUAAUGCAUUUAAGGAGUUUUAAUUUUGUAAGAUGAAAAGUUCUGGAUAUCAGUUACACAAUCACAUGAAUAUAUUUAACAAAACUGAACUAUACUCUUAAAAAUGGUGAGGAUGGUACAUUUUAUGCUGUGUGGGAUUUUUCUUAGUCAAAACAAUGUUUUGAAAGUUUAUGAAAGGUUAGGAAGGAAAGAUGGGAGAAGAGGAACACAAAUGUCUGAAAAGUGAAGGCCUAAAAGUGAGUAGGGGUGAUAGAGGUACUGUCCUGGCUAGAGUUGUCAGAGCAGUGGAGUACAUGUGGGGGUUGGCUAGAUAGGCUCACAGGAUCAGGGCAGGAGAGGCCAUGAUGGCUGGCUGCAGGCUGGAGAGCAGGAAGACCCAGUAGUUGCUCUUGCCAAGAAGCUGGAAGCUGCAGAACAAGGUGGACCAAGCAUGCAGUCAGGUUGACAGCCAAGAUCAGCAGGCACAGGUACCUAGAUCUAGCUUACAACCUAUAGCAAGAGCACAUUUAUAUUUAUAUUAUAUUUAUAAUAUAAUUUGUAUUCUCCUUCUGUCUCUCUUUUCUUUCAUCAUUUUAAUCUGUAGAACUGUCUAGAUGAAACUAAGAUGGCCUGAGAGGAGCACGGUUAUUUUGGCUGCUCCUUUUUUAAGAGACCAAGGGCUCCCUGCUUUUUCCCUCCAGUAUUCCAGGCACCUCAGAUAGCUUAGAGUUCCCGAUUCUGCCAAUGCUAAGUCACUGCUUUGGGCCCAAGGUUAAUGGAUGGGAGGAGAAUUAAUUCAGUGAUUAAUAUGCUGGGUCAGAGCCAGGCCUUUGUUUAUACUGAACCGUGCUUUGGACUCAGAAGUUUUGCCAAAAAAAAAAAAUCCCUCACAAAAGCUGUGAUGAUGCCAUCCAAUUCGAGGUUGGGAAAAUUACAAAAUCAGCUUUUCUGUGUUGUUUCUCAACUCCACCCAUGACCAUGACCAUAGGUUCUUCCCUUUAUUCAAACUGCAAACCCUGGGUGUUUGAUGAGACUUGGGCAUAGGUAAUAAUAACUAAUAUUAUAAUGGCUAACAUUUUUAUAUCAUGUUUGACAGUUUGCAAGGCCUUCUAAGUCAUCCUACAUGGUUCUGACAAAAACCACUUGAAUUCUGUCCUAGCAUCCCCUUGUGAAGUUCAGGGGAGAUAAGUACUUGCCUAAGGACUCAGAGUAAUUUGUCUAAAGUUGCUGUCACGUGGCCAGGAUUGAACACUGUGCUUCCAGGAAGAGGCUGCAUGGCAACUACCAAUGCUAUAGAGGGGCAGUAGUGAAUCCAAAAAGGGUUUUGCUUGUGGGAGAGGGCUACUCAUGAAACCCUACUGGAGUUGCGAUUUCUUGUUUGACUUCACUAACCCAUUGUGCUCUACUGUUCCCAGGGACCUUAAGAGGCCAUGUAGGCUACUAAAUAAAACAGUGUGAAUGUAGAUGCGAUCACAAGGACCAUAGGGGUAACUCUGUAGUUCUGAUAAGGGUUCAGUCAUUUUCCCAGCAUGAAGGCCUCAUACAGAGAGAGGCUCCUCUUUGGUCCCAGCCUGGAAAGUCAUGGCCUAAUGGCCUAACGGCAGCUCAGUACUGACACAAGGUUGGUUAGCUUUCUGUUACUGUAACAAUGCACCUGAGAUAAUCAACUUUAAAAGAAGAAAAGCUUAUUUAAGCUCACAGUCUUAGAAUUUUCAGUCCAUGCUUGAUUGUCUUGCUUCGUUUGGGCCUAUGAUAAAGCAGCAUAUCAUGGUGGGAAUGUGUGGUAGAACAAAGUGCUCACCCAUGGCCUGGACACAAAAAAAUGAAAGAGAAGAAAACAGAGUCCCUCAAUCCCCUUCAAAGCUGCACCCCCAAUAACCUAACUUCCUCCCAUUAGGGCCCAACUUUUAAAGGUUCCACAAUCUCCAGACAGUACCAAGGUAGACAACAAGCCUUGGACACAUGGUUCUCCGGUGGAAGGUGGGGAUGUGGGGAAUGGGGCUGGGCUGUGGCCUGCAAGUGAGCAUGGCUAUAAAGGGCCUCGGGCCAGCAGCAGCCGGGCUUUCAGAACAUUCUGGUGAUGGAUCCGGGCUACAUGGACAAGGACCUCUCAAAGGUAGUUCCACUCUUUUCUGCUGGGCAAGGAGCAGGUUGUAGGGACAAGGGAUAGCAAUUACUGUGUUCACCAAACACCCUCCAUCGCUUCCACCUCUGGAGUCCUCUUUCCUCUCCCUGCCCUAAUAGGAAAAAGAAACAUUUCUUCCCCCAUCCUGCUUUUGUGAGAGUGAUCUGUGAUGAGGUGACACGUUUAAUGACUUCGUAUCUGUCUUCCCAUUUGUCAUAGAUGGGUGAUACGUCCUUAGGAUGAUGUACACAAGAGCCUCUCAGUCUGUCACUGGCUUCUCUUCUAUUCUCAUCCCUUGCAAUGUCCCCCAGUGUACACUGUAUAUGGGUAUGGUGGGUGCUUGAGAUGCCCCAAAACUAUGCUCUGAUUUUUGCUCUUUUGCUGUCGAUGCCCCCACCCUUGAAUGUUGCUGCCUAACCCCCAGCUGUGGAAUCCUCACUGACCUUUUACAACCCAUUCAGUUCCUUUGUACUCCCACCCCCAACUUGGCAUGCACUCCUAUUGCAGAAUCUGUCAAAAGCUCACUUGAUUAUAUUCUCAUCCAUCUCUCCAUUCAUAAUCAGAGGCUCUGUCUGUCAACCUCUAGGUCUACCUCCAUGCACAGCAGGUGUUCAAUAUGAGCUGUGUGUUUUCAAUAUAGAAUAUACAUUAAUGGAUAGUAGCUGUAAAUUGAUAACAGACUGCUUGACGCUUCAGGCGAAAGCUCCAGUGGAAUGGAAGAGAGUGUCAGAAAGACUUCCUAAGGGAGCCACUGUAAUUUAGCUUCCAUGUUCCCGAGCAGGGCAUGCCCUUCACUGCAUAUGAAGAAGGCUGAGACAUCAAUUUGCUUUUAGAGGAGGGGUCUUUCGUGAGGACAGCAUGCCUGUGUGCACACAUUUAAUGACUAAGGGGACACGGCUGUAGCACCAGGAAGCAGAAAGUACCCGACUCUCCGGAGGUAGCUGGUGGUCUCCACCGAGGCCUGCAUUCCUAAGAGAGCAGUAGGGAUUUCCUCUUCAAAAGGCCCCACUCUGUCCAAUCUUCAACUUGGUCUACAUCAGCCUUCCCUUAAGUCGUCUCUGGUCUUCAGAGGGGGAUUUCAUUCAGUAGAAACACCAGGAGGACACAUGGGGCAGCUUCUUGUCUUAAGAGGUUCUUCUUGUAUUAAGCCAUAAGAUUUUCUACUCUUCAAUACUUAGCACGGUGCCUGGCCCAUAGUAGGUGUUCAGUAAAGGUUAAGUGGAUAAAUAGAUGAAUGGUAACAACUAAACAAAAUGCCCAAUGGGUCCAUUUGAGAAAACUGCUUUAAGGACCAAAUCAAUUAGAAUUUUAAGCCAAAUAAGCCCCCUGUUUGUUUUGCUAUUGACUAAUCCAAGGAAGAUUCGAUUCAGGCAUGUGUUAUUUUACCAUAUUCAUUGGAAUAAUGUGAGUCCCAAGAGCAGAAUUCAGACCUUUGAGGACAAGGAUUCAUCCUUAUUUUCCCCCUCCUCAACCAAACGCCUGCUGCUGAUGCUAUGAGGGGUUGCGACAGAAUAAACUUGAGAUGGGAAAUAUUUAAACGUGAAUCUGCAAAUGUACUAAUAAAAUGUUUUCUCCAUUAGUCAUUUCAUUACCCACACAGAGUACUUUGCCAAUAGAAAUGAUCCUAAGUGAACGGGGGUGAAGAUGUUAGAGCGAGUCAAUGUUUACAGCCAGUAAAUUCUCCCUAACACCCCAAGAGCUGGGCCUGGGUAGAGAGCCAGUGAAUAUCUGCUCAUUUAGUGGAGCAAUGAUGGAUGAGGAAUCUCCUGAAAACUCCGUGCAGUGACUGCUCUGACCUUCUGAACGGCCUGGAUAGGUAGAAGCUGAUGCCAAUUUCAGUGAAAACUGACUGGGAAACGUCACUGUCGAAUCCCUUUCGAUAUCCCGGUGACCCCUGCUCCAACGUGGGAGCCGACCCAGGGCAGAGUCAAGAGCAGGACAGGCCGGGCCCUUCCCAGGAGACCCCGGCUACAUGCGCUAGGGGACUGGCUUCCGGCAGAGCUGGAGUAAGAGAACGAUAAUCUUCGAGAUUCAGACAUUCUCAUGGCAUCUGGAAGUUGUUGGUGUUUUUCAUGGGGGAAAGUUGCUGACAAACAUUGUCCCUGUAGAGGCGACUCCUAUUUUCUAGGUCUGGCUCCUGAAGGGUUGCCAUGGGGGGAAAAGGGAAUGAGAUCAGUGCUGUAACUGAACUCCUCUGCCUUCCUGGGCACCACUGUCCCCACCACAAAGCGUCGGUGAUGGUAACCAUGGAAGUAACUCCAGAGAAGCUCUGUCGGGCGGGGCAGCGGGAUGAGACAGUCAUGCAGGCAUGUUGGCAACACACAUGAUCCCAGCGUGCAGGGAGGCUGAGGCAGGAGGAUUACAACUUCGAGCCCAGCCUGGGCAACUUGGCCAGACUCUGUCUCAAAAUAAAAAAAUUAAUCCAGGAAUUUAACUCAGUGGUUUCGCCGCCUGCUGCACAAGCGCAAGGACCCAAGUUCGAUCUCCGGUACCAAAAAAAAAAAUUAAAGUAAAAAAAUUAAAAAAUGACUGCAGAUAUUGUUUAGUUUGCUCUACUUACGCUCUGUGUUCAGUCCCAGUACUAUAAAAAUCAAAUCAGUCAAAUUUUAAAACAGAUGAUGCAUGUAAUGCUAGUCUUAGUGCUAUGCCUGGAACAUUAUGUCUUCAGUAUACAGGCAGGUGUGGUGGUGCACACCUGUAAUCCCAGCACUCGGGAAGCUGAGGCAGGAGGAUCACCAUGAGUUUGAGGCCAGUCUGGGUUGCAUAGUGAGUUCAGAACCACCCUGAACUACAUAGCAAGACCUUGUCUCAAAAAACCAGAACAAAACAAAAAAUGAGUUUACAGUAUUCAACUGCCUUGGGAGGCCACAUCUGCUAAGUAAGUCCUUCUCCUUUAACACAGGGUUCUUACAUAAUUUUGGACUCUCUGAUGCCUGGA
ensembl:lncRNA